GUACAUUCCACAGCUGGCCUUUGCUUGAAAACUGAUAUACGACCUCAAUCGCCGUCCAACGCACUGAAGUGACUCAGCUUUUGUUUAUCGUCUUAUCAAAUAAAAGUGAAGCUAGAUAAAUGAAUUAAAUUUCAUGGGCUGGAAAAACCCACUAUUGCUUUUGGACUACAUUAACCCGACUACGUAAUCCCUAAUGACACCCGACAAAAAUCACCUUUACCACCAAGGAAACUAUACUAAACGAUCCCACAGUGAUACCUCCUUGGCGUAGACAUUCAGAUACAGGCAAUCCUCGACGCCCUCCAGCUGUUUGGAGUAGUGGUUGAAUUGGAGUGGCUUCUGGCCGGGCUUGGUGCAAUCCAAGGGCUGGCUCCAGGGCUC
rnacentral:lncRNA from 1 species